AAGGGCACCACAAGAACGCGUGGAGCAUGUGGCUUAAUUUGACUCAACGCGGGAAAUCUUACCGGGUCCGGACACACUGAGGAUUGACAGGCAAUAUUAAUACGUCAGUCCGCUGUGUAUUAUGUUAAAUAUGCUAGUCCUUUCAUGAUUAUGUGAUAGGUGGUGCAUGGCCGUUCUUAGUUCGUGGAGUGAUCUGUCUGCUUAAUUGCGUUUCACUAAGGGCCUAUAAUUUUACGUGUGUUGCAGCACUUUGACCCCUCAGCAAUGAGCGCGCGUCUUAGUUUGCUUGCUCGCACAAUUAGGUCCUGAAAGCAACGAACGUGACCGCAACCUCUUGUUGCCUUUAUACCAAACAUGUUUUGUUUAUGUCUUCAUAGAUAUUCAUGAAAAAAGGCUUUUAAACUAGAGGGACCGCUGUUACUUUCUUAAGCCAGAGGAAGGUUGCGGCAAUAACAGGUCUGUGAUGCCCUUAGAUGUUCCGGGCUGCACACGUGCUACAAUGAUUAUUGCAGUGAGCAUCUCAUUUUUACACACCGCAUGCGCGAGUCUAUUUAUUCGUGUUCGCACGUUUUAAAUAUGUAUUUCUGCGCGCGGUAAAGCCUGCUUCGAAAGUAAGUGGGUAAUCAAUUAGAAGUAAUGAUUUCCUUUUUUUUAGCACACAUAUAUACGGCGUCUAUGCCCGGGCUGCCUUGUUGUAGCUUUUGUGCGUAUAGAUGUUUUUUCCGUAUGUGCGAUUGUCAAUUCAUGGUGGGGACAGACCAUUGUUAAUUGUUGGUCUCGGUCUUAACUAGGAAUGCCUUGUACAGGUCUUUGGUUCAACAAACCACCCGGAAUACGUCCCUGCCCUUUGUACACACCGCCCGUCGCUCUUACCGAUGGACUUCUCUGUGAGUUUGAGGGACUGGGAACGCAGAUUUAUCUGCACACCUAUGGAAACUUAAACGAACAGUGUGGUCUAAAGGAAAGAGAAGUCGUAACAAGGCA
rnacentral:rRNA from 1 species